AAUGGGUCAGCGACUUAUAUUCUGUAGCAAGGUUAACCGAAUAGGGGAGCCGAAGGGAAACCGAGUCUUAACUGGGCGUUAAGUUGCAGGGUAUAGACCCGAAACCCGGUGAUCUAGCCAUGGGCAGGUUGAAGGUUGGGUAACACUAACUGGAGGACCGAACCGACUAAUGUUGAAAAAUUAGCGGAUGACUUGUGGCUGGGGGUGAAAGGCCAAUCAAACCGGGAGAUAGCUGGUUCUCCCCGAAAGCUAUUUAGGUAGCGCCUCGUGAAUUCAUCUCCGGGGGUAGAGCACUGUUUCGGCAAGGGGGUCAUCCCGACUUACCAACCCGAUGCAAACUGCGAAUACCGGAGAAUGUUAUCACGGGAGACACACGGCGGGUGCUAACGUCCGUCGUGAAGAGGGAAACAACCCAGACCGCCAGCUAAGGUCCCAAAGUCAUGGUUAAGUGGGAAACGAUGUGGGAAGGCCCAGACAGCCAGGAUGUUGGCUUAGAAGCAGCCAUCAUUUAAAGAAAGCGUAAUAGCUCACUGGUCGAGUCGGCCUGCGCGGAAGAUGUAACGGGGCUAAACCAUGCACCGAAGCUGCGGCAGCGACGCUUAUGCGUUGUUGGGUAGGGGAGCGUUCUGUAAGCCUGUGAAGGUGUGCUGUGAGGCAUGCUGGAGGUAUCAGAAGUGCGAAUGCUGACAUAAGUAACGAUAAAGCGGGUGAAAAGCCCGCUCGCCGGAAGACCAAGGGUUCCUGUCCAACGUUAAUCGGGGCAGGGUGAGUCGACCCCUAAGGCGAGGCCGAAAGGCGUAGUCGAUGGGAAACAGGUUAAUAUUCCUGUACUUGGUGUUACUGCGAAGGGGGGACGGAGAAGGCUAUGUUGGCCGGGCGACGGUUGUCCCGGUUUAAGCGUGUAGGCUGGUUUUCCAGGCAAAUCCGGAAAAUCAAGGCUGAGGCGUGAUGACGAGGCACUACGGUGCUGAAGCAACAAAUGCCCUGCUUCCAGGAAAAGCCUCUAAGCAUCAGGUAACAUCAAAUCGUACCCCAAACCGACACAGGUGGUCAGGUAGAGAAUACCAAGGCGCUUGAGAGAACUCGGGUGAAGGAACUAGGCAAAAUGGUGCCGUAACUUCGGGAGAAGGCACGCUGAUAUGUAGGUGAAGUCCCUUGCGGAUGGAGCUGAAAUCAGUCGAAGAUACCAGCUGGCUGCAACUGUUUAUUAAAAACACAGCACUGUGCAAACACGAAAGUGGACGUAUACGGUGUGACGCCUGCCCGGUGCCGGAAGGUUAAUUGAUGGGGUCAGCGC
rnacentral:rRNA from 1 species